rnacentral:rRNA from 1 species
UACGGAGGGUGCGAGCGUUGUCCGGAAUUAUUGGGCGUAAAGAGCUCGUAGGCGGUCUGUUGCGUCCGCUGUGAAAACCCGGGGCUUAACCCCUGGCUUGCAGUGGAUACGGACAGACUAGAGGUAGGUAGGGGAGAAUGGAAUUCCCGGUGUAGCGGUGAAAUGCGCAGAUAUCGGGAGGAACACCGGUGGCGAAGGCGGUUCUCUGGGCCUUACCUGACGCUGAGGAGCGAAAGCGUGGGGAGCGAACAGG